rnacentral:rRNA from 1 species
GUGAAAUUCCGUCGGAAUCUGGGAGGACCAUCUCCUAAGGCUAAAUACUCUCUAGUGACCGAUAGUGAACCAGUACCGUGAGGGAAAGGUGAAAAGCACCCCGGAAGGGGAGUGAAAUAGAACCUGAAACCGUGUGCUUACAAGUAGUCAGAGCCCGUUAAUGGGUGAUGGCGUGCCUUUUGUAGAAUGAACCGGCGAGUUACGAUUUGAUGCAAGGUUAAGCAGUAAAUGUGGAGCCGUAGCGAAAGCGAGUCUGAAUAGGGCGUUUAGUAUUUGGUCGUAGACCCGAAACCAGGUGAUCUACCCUUGGUCAGGUUGAAGUUCAGGUAACACUGAAUGGAGGACCGAACCGACUUACGUUGAAAAGUGAGCGGAUGAACUGAGGGUAGCGGAGAAAUUCCAAUCGAACCUGGAGAUAGCUGGUUCUCUCCGAAAUAGCUUUAGGGCUAGCCUCAAGUGAUGAUUAUUGGAGGUAGAGCACUGUUUGGA